AACCUGUCCACAUGUAGGCGCCGUCCUGGGAAAUAUUGCAAUGAAGAUGAACAAGGACAUGAGAAAGGUGAAGGUGACUUGUCCAGGAACAACACACAAGUGCAAGUCCGUGAAAGUGAAGAAAACGGCCGAGAAAGUUUGAAGAAGAAACAACAUCCUCUGCCAUGUCUUCCACGUCUGCCGGAAUUUUCUUUUGCGAAUGAUGCAAGUUCUGAUACCGACUGCGAGAGUCAUGCAAGGGUCCCAAGUAACACGCAGCCUGAUGAACCAACAAGUUCUUCCACAGCG